rnacentral:rRNA from 3 species
CUACGCUGCGAUAAGCCGUGGGGAGCUGCGAAGAAGCUUUGAUCCAUGGAUUUCCGAAUGGGGAAACCCACCUUCGAUAGCCGGAACUCCAAGACCUCUGGUCUUGGUGUUCGACCAGAAAUGAUCGGGACCAUGACCGAAAGGUUUUGGAUUUCCGGUUAUCAAGAGAAGGUAUGAGACUUCUGAAUACAUAGGAGGUUUCAAGCAAACCCAGGGAACUGAAACAUCUAAGUACCUGGAGGAAAGGACAUCAACAGAGACUCCGUUAGUAGUGGCGAGCGAACGCGGACCAGGCCAGUGAUACAUCAAAGACAAUCGGAACCAGUCAGGAAAGCUGGGCCUCAGAGGGUGAUAGCCCCGUACGAGUAAUGCGAUGAUGUAUCCACGAGUAAGGCGGGACACGUGAAAUCCUGUCUGAACGCGGGGGGACCACCCUCCAAGCCUAAGUACUCCUCAGCGACCGAUAGU